GGUUGUGAAAGUUGCGCACUCUCCUUCUCUAUUGAAUGACGUUAGUUUCGUGCCUCUAUGUCCUCCAACAAAAAGCUAUUACAAAAAGAAGGUUUAUAUUGGACAUGCAGUUUACACACCAAGCUACUAAAAAAAAUAAAUAAAUAAAUAAAAAAAUAAAAAAGGCACUUUCUCCACGGUCCCUUACUUACCGCUACGACAAGAAGAAUUUGCAGGCCAGUUCUCAUAAUAUCGAGUGAAAAUAAUGAGAACAAGCUUGUGGGAUAUUAUUAGAUUUCCACGUUUUACAAUAAUACUCUUUUGGAAAGUAUGUGCUAAGCCGUUUAAGAGUUAUUGCCGUUUAUCGCUGAAUUUGUCUGGAAUAUCGAAAACAAAACUAUCUUAACCUCGCUACAUCAGCCUACGUCACAGAAUGUCUUAAGUUCAGUGAAUGGACUGGGCGGACUGUGGAUGUUUUUACGGAUUGUAUUUUUUUCUGUUCCUGUCACUUCAGUCAUUGGCACUUCGGAAACGAUAGGAGACCAGGACGCAUCUUUUGAGACAUUCUUGGCCCAAGUGUAAAUGUGGAAGGAACGUGCUUUAAAAAGGCAGUGUGCAUGUGUAUGGGUGAAGCCUCAGGAAACCCAUGAAUAUGUGGGAUAGGAAAGUGAAGAGAUUGGACAGGAAAUGACAGGGGAGAAGAGUGGGAAUGGGAUCGGGACCUCACGAGAUGGGAUUCUAACUCUGGUUACCUGUGAUGCAUCAGCAUUAAAUGUUGGAGCACUGCCCAUUAGGCUACGGCUCUGACUUUAUGAACAUUUGUAAAUAACUUUGAUACCCUGUAUCGCCUUUCUGAUGGGAGCUGCUUGAAUUGCUGCUUCCCAAUGCUUUGGUCUCCUCUUGCGUGUUCUCUAGAUUUCAUUGGCUUAUUGGUGGUCUCUCGCUCAUCUGGACAGUGUGCACACCUGAUUAAUGCACACCUAAUUGGAAACUGUUGUAGCAUCUAUGAGUAGUUAAGUAGUCUCAGAAGUGUGCAUACAUAACCAUUGUCAAUGGGCACCUGCUGUGAUGUGAAACUUCUAGUUGCCAACAUAAAACUUUAAAGGCUACAAGCCGUGUAAUGUGCACCAGGCUUAAAUGAAGAUAGAUUUUACAUUUUCAAUUAACUAUUCCUAUAAUGCUUUAUAGCUCUCAAAUUCCAUUCGCUCUUUCUGCAUAUUCAUUGUAUGGAAAGAGCUGGAGUCAACAGGCUGAGAGUCAUGGUUUCACAUAUUAACUCUAAUUUGCUUGUUUGACACCAGUAUUAGCUGCUUAUUUGUCUCCCAACUUUCAUACAACAAACUUAAAACCAAAAUUUCAUUUUAUAGCCCCAUGGGUUAUUUGUACUUUCCAGACCUCUCAUUUUUUUUUAAUUCUGUCUUAUUCAGUCACCCGCAUGUCAUUCAAUAUUUAUUUAUUCUAUGGAAAACAAAAGGGUAAUUUUGAAGAAUCUUCAAGAAGCUCUUUUCCAAACAGUGACUGUUCAUACUGACUAUGUUACUGUCAAGCUUCAACAAGACAAUAAAAUUGCCAUAAAAAUCUCAUAACCAUUGCACUUUAUUCCAAGUAUUAUGAAGGUGUAUCAUACUGUAGCUUUUGUUUGAAACAGACCCAUAUUUAAAUUGUUAUCCACUGAUUUAUUUGUUAUUCAUUCUUCUCUGCUGCAGCUCUCAAAUAAAAAAAUUACGCCUAAUGGCACUGGUAUUACAUAGGGUUGUCACGAUACCAGAAUUAUAUGUUAUGAUACUAUGUCACCUAAAGUAUCACAGUACCACACAUUUUGUUUCUUAUUGCAGGGCAGUGAGUAUUCUGUAUUUUCUGUAAUAAUUUCAAAUCUACCAAAUUAAUGUCAUGGUUGUAAAAAUGGUUAGAUAAAUUUACAUUUAUUUUAAAGUGAUCAUCAAUUUAUUUCCAUAUUUUGGUAAUACUUUACAGUGAGGUUUAUUUGUUGACAUUAGUUAUAGCCUUAGGUAUUAUGAACUAACAAUGAACAAUAUACACUGCAUGGCCAAAAAAAAAAAAAAAAAGAGUCACCGUUUGGAUGUUUGGCAGUGUUAUGAUCUGGGGUUGCUUCAAUUGGUCAGGUCUAGGCUCAGCAACGUUAUGUGGCAAUAAAAUGAAGUCAGUUGACUACCUGAAAUGUACUAAAUGACCAGGUUAUCCCAUCAAUGGAUUUUUUCUUCCCUGAUGGCAUGGGCAUAUUCCAGAAUGACAAUGCCAAGAUUCAUUGGGCUCAAAUUGUGAAAGAGUGGUUCAGGGAGCAUGAGGAAUCAUUUUCACAAAUGAAUUGGCCACCACAGAGUCCUGACCUUAACCCCAUUGAAAGUCUUUGGGAUGUGCUGGAGAAGACUUUAUGGAAUGGUUCAACUCUCCCGUCAUCAAAACAAGAUUUCGGCCAAAAAUGAAUGCAACUCUGGACAGAAAUAAAUGUUGUGACUUUGCAUAAGAUUGUCCCAACAAUGCCAUGACAAAUGUGCACCGUAAUUAAAGCUAAAGGCGGUCCAAUUAAAUAUUAGAGUAUGCAAUUUUUUUUUUUUUUUUGACUAGGCAAUGUGUUAUUACAACAUUUAUUAAUCUUAGUUAAUGUUAGUUAAUAAAAAUACAAUUGUUCAUUGUUAGUUUGUUAGUUCAUAAUGCAUUAACUUUUAAUUAAAAAAAUAUAUUGGUAUAUGCAGAAAUGAACAUCAACCCAGAAUGUUGUAAAAGUAUUGUUCAUUGUUCAUUCAUGUUAACUAAUGUUGUAUACUAAUGUUAAUAUUGUUACUAAUCUCAUUGUUACCGAUUAGUAGGCCCAGAUGGAAUCUGCAGACUUUUCUUGCACUUUCUGCGCCGAUUUUUCUGAAAAAUCUGUGGAAUUCUGUGGAAGGGAUGUAAACAUUGUAAAAAUGUGUCAUAUUAAGCUGAGAAUACUACACUGAUAUUGGAAAGCAUCACAUGCAAUGUUUGGGUAAUGCAUUGAACUUUUGUGAAUGACGGUUGUUACAAUUCUGCUGAAAUUUGCGCAUGCAGAUUCUGUCUGGGCCUACCGAUUAGCCUGCUACCUUAGUUUUUGAUCAGGCAUUACAAAUGGGGACCCCCCUGGGGACACUGGUACUUUUUUCCUUACACUUCAAGCACUGAUGGCCAUGUAUGCAAUCGGCAUUAGCACCAAAAUGCAGAGUAGGGCUGUCAGCUGUUUACCAUAAAUAUUUUCAAAAUUCAAAUAAUAUACUAAUUUUAAAGUCAGAUGAUUUUUUUAAAUUGACAUUUCUAUCCUGGCUGUUAAAAAAAAGAGCAUUUCAUUUUCAUCUAAUGUGCAUAAAAUAAAUACGUUUUAGUCGGUCCAUAUUCUCAAAUGUUAAGUCAAAAGUAAAAUGAGGGGGGGUGGAACUCUUCAAUAGACAGUUCACAUGUUGAUACAUUUGCACUGAUUCCUACUACCCCUACUCAAACUUCAUAAUAACAGUGAAAUAUCACAUAGUUUUUUAUUCAGUACAGUUGUAUGUAGAGUAGCAAUAUUCACAGAUAGCAGUGGUAUUCGGCUGAAUUCUGUGGCGAAGCGGCUCAGACUAUGAGCCCAGUCCAGGGGCUGUUCAAACAGAUGGAACACUGUAUUUUCAUUAUUCGGAUACAACAAGUGAAGUUGUGAAUAAGCGUAACUUGCUUUGUAUUUACAUUUUUAAAAUGUA